UCCCUGGUGGCCUAGUGGUUAGGGAGUCAGCAUUGUCAGUGCUAUGGCUCAGGUUCAAUCCCUGGCCUGGAAA
rnacentral:tRNA from 1 species